rnacentral:rRNA from 1 species
GGUUAAGCGACUAAGCGUACACGGUGGAUGCCCUGGCAGUCAGAGGCGAUGAAGGACGUGCUAAUCUGCGAUAAGCGUCGGUAAGGUGAUAUGAACCGUUAUAACCGGCGAUUUCCGAAUGGGGAAACCCAGUGUGAUUCGUCACACUAUCAUUAACUGAAUCCAUAGGUUAAUGAGGCGAACCGGGGGAACUGAAACAUCUAAGUACCCCGAGGAAAAGAAAUCAACCGAGAUUCCCCCAGUAGCGGCGAGCGAACGGGGAGCAGCCCAGAGCCUGAAUCAGUGUGUGUGUUAGUGGAAGCGUCUGGAAAGGCGCGCGAUACAGGGUGACAGCCCCGUACACAAAAAUGCACAUACUGUGAGCUCGAUGAGUAGGGCGGGACACGUGGUAUCCUGUCUGAAUAUGGGGGGACCAUCCUCCAAGGCUAAAUACUCCUGACUGACCGAUAGUGAACCAGUACCGUGAGGGAAAGGCGAAAAGAACCCCGGCGAGGGGAGUGAAAAAGAACCUGAAACCGUGUACGUACAAGCAGUGGGAGCACGCUUAGGCGUGUGACUGCGUACCUUUUGUAUAAUGGGUCAGCGACUUAUAUUCUGUAGCAAGGUUAACCGAAUAGGGGAGCCGAAGGGAAACCGAGUCUUAACUGGGCGUUAAGUUGCAGGGUAUAGACCCGAAACCCGGUGAUCUAGCCAUGGGCAGGUUGAAGGUUGGGUAACACUAACUGGAGGACCGAACCGACUAAUGUUGAAAAAUUAGCGGAUGACUUGUGGCUGGGGGUGAAAGGCCAAUCAAACCGGGAGAUAGCUGGUUCUCCCCGAAAGCUAUUUAGGUAGCGCCUCGUGAAUUCAUCUCCGGGGGUAGAGCACUGUUUCGGCAAGGGGGUCAUCCCGACUUACCAACCCGAUGCAAACUGCGAAUACCGGAGAAUGUUAUCACGGGAGACACACGGCGGGUGCUAACGUCCGUCGUGAAGAGGGAAACAACCCAGACCGCCAGCUAAGGUCCCAAAGUCAUGGUUAAGUGGGAAACGAUGUGGGAAGGCCCAGACAGCCAGGAUGUUGGCUUAGAAGCAGCCAUCAUUUAAAGAAAGCGUAAUAGCUCACUGGUCGAGUCGGCCUGCGCGGAAGAUGUAACGGGGCUAAACCAUGCACCGAAGCUGCGGCAGCGACGCUUAUGCGUUGUUGGGUAGGGGAGCGUUCUGUAAGCCUGCGAAGGUGUGCUGUGAGGCAUGCUGGAGGUAUCAGAAGUGCGAAUGCUGACAUAAGUAACGAUAAAGCGGGUGAAAAGCCCGCUCGCCGGAAGACCAAGGGUUCCUGUCCAACGUUAAUCGGGGCAGGGUGAGUCGACCCCUAAGGCGAGGCCGAAAGGCGUAGUCGAUGGGAAACAGGUUAAUAUUCCUGUACUUGGUGUUACUGCGAAGGGGGGACGGAGAAGGCUAUGUUGGCCGGGCGACGGUUGUCCCGGUUUAAGCGUGUAGGCUGGUUUUCCAGGCAAAUCCGGAAAAUCAAGGCUGAGGCGUGAUGACGAGGCACUACGGUGCUGAAGCAACAAAUGCCCUGCUUCCAGGAAAAGCCUCUAAGCAUCAGGUAACAUCAAAUCGUACCCCAAACCGACACAGGUGGUCAGGUAGAGAAUACCAAGGCGCUUGAGAGAACUCGGGUGAAGGAACUAGGCAAAAUGGUGCCGUAACUUCGGGAGAAGGCACGCUGAUAUGUAGGUGAAGUCCCUCGCGGAUGGAGCUGAAAUCAGUCGAAGAUACCAGCUGGCUGCAACUGUUUAUUAAAAACACAGCACUGUGCAAACACGAAAGUGGACGUAUACGGUGUGACGCCUGCCCGGUGCCGGAAGGUUAAUUGAUGGGGUCAGCGCAAGCGAAGCUCUUGAUCGAAGCCCCGGUAAACGGCGGCCGUAACUAUAACGGUCCUAAGGUAGCGAAAUUCCUUGUCGGGUAAGUUCCGACCUGCACGAAUGGCGUAAUGAUGGCCAGGCUGUCUCCACCCGAGACUCAGUGAAAUUGAACUCGCUGUGAAGAUGCAGUGUACCCGCGGCAAGACGGAAAGACCCCGUGAACCUUUACUAUAGCUUGACACUGAACAUUGAGCCUUGAUGUGUAGGAUAGGUGGGAGGCUUUGAAGUGUGGACGCCAGUCUGCAUGGAGCCGACCUUGAAAUACCACCCUUUAAUGUUUGAUGUUCUAACGUUGACCCGUAAUCCGGGUUGCGGACAGUGUCUGGUGGGUAGUUUGACUGGGGCGGUCUCCUCCUAAAGAGUAACGGAGGAGCACGAAGGUUGGCUAAUCCUGGUCGGACAUCAGGAGGUUAGUGCAAUGGCAUAAGCCAGCUUGACUGCGAGCGUGACGGCGCGAGCAGGUGCGAAAGCAGGUCAUAGUGAUCCGGUGGUUCUGAAUGGAAGGGCCAUCGCUCAACGGAUAAAAGGUACUCCGGGGAUAACAGGCUGAUACCGCCCAAGAGUUCAUAUCGACGGCGGUGUUUGGCACCUCGAUGUCGGCUCAUCACAUCCUGGGGCUGAAGUAGGUCCCAAGGGUAUGGCUGUUCGCCAUUUAAAGUGGUACGCGAGCUGGGUUUAGAACGUCGUGAGACAGUUCGGUCCCUAUCUGCCGUGGGCGCUGGAGAACUGAGGGGGGCUGCUCCUAGUACGAGAGGACCGGAGUGGACGCAUCACUGGUGUUCGGGUUGUCAUGCCAAUGGCACUGCCCGGUAGCUAAAUGCGGAAGAGAUAAGUGCUGAAAGCAUCUAAGCACGAAACUUGCCCCGAGAUGAGUUCUCCCUGACUCCUUGAGAGUCCUGAAGGAACGUUGAAGACGACGACGUUGAUAGGCCGGGUGUGUAAGCGCAGCGAUGCGUUGAGCUAACCGGUACUAAUGAACCGUGAGGCUUAACCUU